GUGUCAGCAGCCGCGGUAAUACAGAGGGUGCGAGCGUUAAUCGGAAUUACUGGGCGUAAAGGGCGCGUAGGUGGUCACUUAAGUCAGAUGUGAAAUCCCUGGGCUUAACCUAGGAAUUGCAUUUGAAACUGAGUGGCUAGAGUAUGGGAGAGGGAAGUGGAAUUUCCGGUGUAGCGGUGAAAUGCGUAGAUAUCGGAAGGAACACCAGUGGCGAAGGCGACUUCCUGGCCCAUUACUGACACUGAGGCGCGAAAGCGUGGGGAGCGAACAGGAUUAGAAACCCCAGUAGUCC
rnacentral:rRNA from 1 species